rnacentral:rRNA from 1 species
GACGAACGCUGGCGGCGUGCUUAACACAUGCAAGUCGAACGGAAAGGCCCUGCUUUUGUGGGGUGCUCGAGUGGCGAACGGGUGAGUAACACGUGAGUAACCUGCCCUUGACUUUGGGAUAACUUCAGGAAACUGGGGCUAAUACCGGAUAGGAGCUCCUGCGGCAUGGUGGGGGUGGGAAAGUUUCGGCGGUUGGGGAUGGACUCGCGGCUUAUCAGCUUGUUGGUGGGGCAGUGGCUUACCAAGGCUUUGACGGGUAGCCGGCCUGAGAGGGUGACCGGCCACAUUGGGACUGAGAUACGGCCCAGACUCCUACGGGAGGCAGCAGUGGGGAAUAUUGCACAAUGGGCGGAAGCCUGAUGCAGCAACGCCGCGUGCGGGAUGACGGCCUUCGGGUUGUAAACCGCUUUCGCCUGUGACGCAGCGUGAGUGACGGUACUGGGUAAAGAAGCACCGGCUAACUACGUG